GAGGGAUCUUUAACUGCGUAGGGGUAGGAGGGUUUAGCAUACGAGGGUACAAUCGGGAAAAGGCUAAAGGGAGGGGAAAUAUAACAUUAACCAGUGGGGAAAAGGGAAAGGAGUGUUCUUGGUGGAAGAACCAAAGGGAAAACGUGGAACAGAGAAGAUUCUAGUCUAAGGGGCAGACUUGAACAAUAACUGACAGGACAGGGGGAGGGUACAAUUCUCUCACAAAAAGGGGUGGAGAACUCAUACAACUGCUGUUUCCCAUGGCAACCCUAGACUGCCUUCCCCAACCCCUCCUCCUACAUCUCCCCCGUUUUUAUUUAUUAAAUAAGCACUUCCCAACGUUUUAAGCAACAUACGUCUAAAUAAAAAUAAAGCAAGCGAGAUAAUGAACAUUAUCAGAAAGAUCCAAAAGAGUCCCCUGAGGAUGAUAGCAACCCACCCUGGGACACCCCAUUGAGAUAGCAGUUUAUUCACAGGAUCUACAGUCGAGGUCUCAGUCUUGAGGUCGUCAACUUGCUCUCGGAUCCGCUGGAUAUUAGCUUGGAUGGAUGUGCUCUUUGAUGCCAGAUUGAAGCAGCACAUUCCUUCGAAGUCCUCACAGCCGUGGCCAUGGGUGAGCAGUAAGAAGUCAAUAGCAGCCCUAUUUUGCAGUGUGGCAUGCCUGGUGACUUCUUCGUCCGCUAGCAAGUCAGAAAGGGCAGCGGACGUGGCGUUGGCCUGCUUACUGAGCCAACACUCGAGAAGUUGUCCUGCUGCAAGGACUUCGCCAGCGUGACCCAUAUGU